rnacentral:rRNA from 1 species
GGAGUGNNGCNUGCGUUNAAUUUGACUCAAUCACGGNGAAACUCACCCGGCANNGGACACGANGGAUUGACAGAUUGACAGCUACUUUGGUUGAUUCUGUGGGUGGUGGCUGCAUGGCCGUUCUUAGUUGGUGAGAGCGAUUCUGUCUGGUUAAUUCCGAGAUACGAACGAGACCUC